rnacentral:rRNA from 1 species
UGAGCAAUCUGCCCUUCUCAUCGGAAUAAGCGUUGGAAACGACGUCUAAUGCCGAAUACGACCUCCUUUCGCAUGAUCGGAGGUGGAAAGCUCCGGCGGAGAAGGAUGAGCUCGCGGCCUAUCAGCUAGUUGGUGUGGGUAAUGGCUCACCAAGGCGACGACGGGUAGCCGGCCUGAGAGGGUCGACCCGGCCACACGUGGGACUGAGACACCGGCCCAGACCUCCGUAGGGA